CCAAUACAAUAGAUCAUUGAAAAGAAUUGAGUAAUUACAAUAAAUGAAUAAUUUAGACAUUGUCCUCGCUCUGUUUACAACACCAAAUCACAGAUUUGCACGUCUUGAUACAACGGCUGCAUUCCAAGCCACAACAAGUGCAACUUCAAACUGGGUUUAGCAGAACUCUUCCCAAACAUAAAACCCAUGUCUUCAACUUCUAAAACUGUAUUAAAUUCAU